UCGAGGGGUAUAGUUCUUCGGAGCUAGAGACCGGCGCACGGGUGCGUAACGCGUAUGCAAUCUGCCUUUCACAGAGGGAUAGCCCAGAGAAAUUUGGAUUAAUACCUCAUAGUAUUAUGGAAGGGCAUCCUUUUAUAAUUAAAGUCACAACGGUGAAAGAUGAGCAUGCGUCCCAUUAGCUAGUUGGUAAGGUAACGGCUUACCAAGGCAACGAUGGGUAGGGGUCCUGAGAGGGAGAUCCCCCACACUGGUACUGAGACACGGACCAGACUCCUACGGGAGGCAGCAGUGAGGAAUAUUGGUCAAUGGGCGCAAGCCUGAACCAGCCAUGCCGCGUGCAGGAUGACGGUCCUAUGGAUUGUAAACUGCUUUUGUACGAGAAGAAACACUGAUUCGUGAAUCAGCUUGACGGUAUCGUAAGAAUAAGGAUCGGCUAACUCCGUGCCAGCAGCCGCGGUAAUACGGAGGAUCCAAGCGUUAUCCGGAAUCAUUGGGUUUAAAGGGUCCGUAGGCGGUUUAGUAAGUCAGUGGUGAAAGCCCAUCGCUCAACGGUGGAACGGCCAUUGAUACUGCUGAACUUGAAUUAUUAGGAAGUAACUAGAAUAUGUAGUGUAGCGGUGAAAUGCUUAGAUAUUACAUGGAAUACCAAUUGCGAAGGCAGGUUACUACUAAUGGAUUGACGCUGAUGGA
rnacentral:rRNA from 1 species